AAAAUAAUCCUACCCUUUGUGAAUUUUGUUUGUUUGAAUAAUUUUUUUUUUUAAAAAAUUAUUGGAGUCUUUCCCUUUAGAGUUUGCUUUUGAGUUUGUAAAAGAAUUCGAAAACAUCUAAAGGGGAUGGUCAAUAAUUUUUUUUGAAAAAAGACAUUUUUUAAAAUUAAACUUUUUGUAUUCAUUUGUCUAAAAAUUAUUUUUAUAAUAUAAAAACAACUUUUGACAAUGGAUCUCUUGGUUCUCGCAACGAUGAAGAACGCAGCAAAAUGCGAUAAGUAGUGUGAAUUGCAGAAUACGUGAAUCAUCGAAUCUUUGAACGCAUAUUGCACUUUUUUAGUUUACUAAAAAAGUAUGUCUGUUUGAGUAUCAGUAAAAUAUUCUCAUAAAAAUCAUUGUAUUUUUAUGGUUAUGAGUGUUUUACAACGAUACAAGUUGUUUCACUUUAAAUUUUUUUUUAAUAUUGAAAUUUUUCUAAUUUUAAUAAUUAAAAUUGGAUAAAAUUUUCCCGUCAAAAGGAAUAACCUAAACAAUUUUAAAUGAUUAAUUUUAGCAAGAUUUUCGUAAAAAAGGAAAAUUUUUAUUAAAAUAACUUGAUCUCAAAUCAGAUAAGAGUACCCGCUGAACUUAAGCAUAUCAAUAAGCGGAGGAAAAGAAACUAACAAGGAUUCCCUUAGUAACGGCGAGUGAAGCGGGAAGAGCUCAAAUUUGAAAUCUUCAAGGUUUUACCUUGACGAAUUGUAGUUUAAAGAAGUGUUUUCUGCUGAAGUUUUGGUAAAAGUUCUUUGGAAUAGGACAUCAUAGAGGGUGAGAAUCCCGUAUUUGACCAUUAUUUUCAGCUUUGUGAUACACUUUCAAAGAGUCGGAUUGUUUGGGAAUGCAGUCCAAAAUGGGUGGUAAAUUUCAUCUAAAGCUAAAUAUUGGCGAGAGACCGAUAGCGAACAAGUACCGUGAGGGAAAGAUGAAAAGAACUUUGAAAAGAGAGUUAAACAGUACGUGAAAUUGUCAAAAGGGAAGCGUUUGACACCAGUGUUGUUUUCUCGAAAAUCAAUUAAAAAUGGCUCGAUUUUGUAUUGCUGAGACCUUAAAAGCUCACUGUACAUUUUUCGUGUCUUUUUUAAUGCACUUUUCGUUUAACAAGUCAACAUCAGUUUCUUUUGUUGUAAAAGGGUCAUUGGAAGGUGGCUUUCUUUUCGGAGAAAGUGUUUAUAGCCUUUGGCCUCUGCAAUCGGAGAGACUGAGGUCUGCAGCGUAGACUCUUCGGGGUUAGAUACAUUUGUGCUAAGUUAUAGCUUUUUAUAGACAACUUGUUGACUAUAAUUAGUCUUGUAGCUUACUCGCUUAUGCUAUUUUACCUAC
rnacentral:misc_RNA from 1 species